UCCUAUCUGUGCGAUAUCGGAAUUAAGUAGUCAAAUCGCUCCACCAACUAAGAACGGCCAUGCAUCACCACCCACAGAAUCGAGAAAGAGCUAUCAAUCUGUCAAUCCUUUCCGUGUCCGGGCUGAGUGAGGUUUCCCGUGUUGAUAGCUCUUUCUCGAUUCUUUGG